GUUUAUCAAAAACAUGUCUUUUUGAAUUUAAUUUAAAGUCUGACCUGCCCACUGAAAUUUUAAAUGGCCGCAGUAUUUUAACUGUGCAAAGGUAGCAUAAUCAUUAGUCUUUUAAUUGGAGGCUGGAAUGAAUGGUUGAAUGAAAUAUUAACUGUUUCAAAUAAAUUUAUAAUAGAAUUUUAUUUUUUAGUUAAAAAGCUAAAAUUUUAUUAAAAGACGAGAAGACCCUAUAAAUCUUUAUAUUUAUGUUUAUAUUUGUUAUAUAGAUUAUUAUAAUUUUUAUAAAUUUAAAUAUUUUAUUGGGGUGAUAUUAAAAUUUAAUAAACUUUUAAUUAAGUAUUAACAUUAAUUAGUGAAAUAUUGAUCCAUAAAUAAUGAUUAAUAAAUUAAGUUACUUUAGGGAUAACAGCGUAAUUUUUUUAGAAAGUUCAUAUUAAUAAAAAAGGUUGCGACCUCGAUGUUGGAUUAAGAUAAAAUUUAGGUGAAGAAG
rnacentral:rRNA from 1 species